GCUUUUAGUGUUCUCUAAGCAGUUAGUAAGAAAUGGUCCUAGAGUAUUUGCCUGUGUAUGAGAAGACUUAAGGUGUUUAUUGCAUUGUUCUGAAUUAGUGAAAGGUGAAAAAAUGCAAAUAUAUACUUACUAUGGAAUGGAUAUAGUUGUUUUAAAACAGUGAAAUGCUGCACAGCUAUAGAUCAUAGAAAAUGUGUGCAUUGAUGUAAAAAAUGAAAAAGCUUUAAAAACUAUCCUAGAUGGAGUAAAAAUCGUGUACUUGUAUAUGUGUUUUAAUACAGUUUUAAAAGGUAUUUACCAGGCUCAAAUGAUUAUUUUUUAGGGAGGAAGAAAGAAUUAUGCUUUUUAAGUCAUGUGAAGUUGUUAGGUCCAAUUGAAUUGCUAAUAUAGUGUGCAGAAAUGAAAAUUUAAAGGUACUUCUACAUUAUAACUUAUUUCUACAAAUCCUCAGUCUUAAGAAAGUGUUGUAGCAUCGUGUAUAAGGUUGAAAAAUUGGAUGCAACAAAAAUGCUU
rnacentral:lncRNA from 1 species